AUUAUUGUUACCGAGUAAAGAGGCACCUUCACUUGUGUACGGCAACAAUGAAUGGUGAAGAAAAUUAAUAAUAUCGUCCAACUUCUGAUUAGGAGAUAUAUACAGUGCUAUCCCUACUCCGUUGGAGAAAGUGAAAGUACUCUUCGUCUGAACCAACCGUGGUAGGGGCAAGAAAAAGAUGGCGCGUAACGGAAAAAUGUUUCACUUCAAUAAAGUUCCAUAUUAAUGGAUACUAGUGGUUCCCGGAUGGCGCCAGCAUACCGACCUUUCUGUGAGGCGUAAAGCAGCAGCUGGGUGUACAGGUGGCGUUGCAGGCAGCGCCGGGCCGCCACCUAUACAUGCGAUGGUAAGUGGUCACUGAGGUUCGUGAAAUCAACGCGAAUUCCGUGACCCACCUUGAGGACAUGAGGUCGAUUUCUCAAAUCCGAAUCCAUACUUCAGAAUAUACUUAAUAAAGAAGGCUGUAACGUCGGAGAAGAGUUAUAAUAAUACAUCUCUUUGAUAUCAUAA